rnacentral:rRNA from 1 species
UACUGCAGCCAUAUCACCCUGCAACCCAAUACUGGUUGCCCACUGAAGCUAAACAGGGUUGAGCCUGGUCAGUACUUGGAUGGGAGAUCUCCUGGGAAAACUAGGUUGCUGCUGGAU